rnacentral:rRNA from 1 species
UCGGGAAUUUUGGGCAAUGGGGGAAACCCUGACCCAGCAACGCCGCGUGAAGGAUGAAGUAUUUCGGUAUGUAAACUUCGAAAGAAUAGGAAGAAUAAAUGACGGUACUAUUUAUAAGGUCCGGCUAACUACGUGCCAGCAGCCGCGGUAAUACGUAGGGACCAAGCGUUGUUCGGAUUUACUGGGCGUAAAGGGCGCGUAGGCGGCAUGACAAGUCACUUGUGAAAUCUCUGGGCUUAACCCAGAACGGCCAAGUGAUACUGUCGCGCUAGAGUGCAGAAGGGGCAAUCGGAAUUCUUGGUGUAGCGGUGAAAUGCGUAGAUAUCAAGAGGAACACCUGAGGUGAAGACGGGUUGCUGGGCUGACACUGACGCUGAGGCGCGAAAGCCAGGGGAGCAAACGGGAUUAGAUACCCGGGUAGUCCCUGAGCGGGCUGGCAAGGCGCAU